rnacentral:rRNA from 1 species
GUCUUUAAGCUUUAUUAUUUAAAGUCGGGCCUGCCCUAUGAUUUUAAUGGCCGCAGUAUUUUGACUGUGCGAAGGUAGCAUAAUAAUUAGUCUAUUAAUUGUAGUCUGGAAUGAAUGGUUUGACAUGAAAAUGGCUUUCUAUUAGUGAAUAUGAAUUUAAAUAAUCAGUUAAAAUGCUGAUGUAUUUUAGGAGGACGAGAAGACCCUAUUGAGUUUAAUAUUUUAAUUUUUGGUGGUACUUUUUUAUGAAUAUUUUGUUGGGGCGACAAUGAAUUUUUUAACGUUUGUUUAUUUUUUUUCUUAUGGGAAUUUUUUGAUCCAUUAUUAAUGAUUAGUAGAUUAAAUUACCAUAGGGAUAACAGCUUAAUUUUAUUGGAGAGUUCAUAUCGAUAAUAAUGAUUGGGACCUCGAUGUUGGAUUAAGAUACCUUUUUGGUGCAGGAAUUAAAUAAGGUAGUCUGUUCGACUAUUAAAAUCUUACA